UACGGGGGGGGCAAGCGUUGUUCGGAAUUACUGGGCGGAAAGGGCUCGUAGGCGGCCAACUAAGUCAGACGUGAAAUCCCUCGGCUUAACCGGGGAACUGCGUCUGAUACUGGAUGGCUCGAGGUUGGGAGAGGGAUGCGGAAUUCCAGGUGUAGCGGUGAAAUGCGUAGAUAUCUGGAGGAGCACCGGUGGCGAAGGCGGCAUCCUGGACCAAUUCUGACGCUGAGGAGCGAAAGCCAGGGGAGCAAACGGG
rnacentral:rRNA from 1 species